rnacentral:lncRNA from 1 species
GAGUUAAUGGCUUAUCUCCACCACUGAUCUCACUUACCUGGCCAACCUAGUGAGUUAGGUUUUGAUUAGAUCACUUGGUGAUUAGGGCUCACCCAUGUCAUUAGGUAAAUCAGUGUGACUGAUUUAGGUGCUCCUAAUGCUGGCUUUAAUUAAAUCCUUUUUAAUCUGACUUGGUGAAGUCAGUGGGAGGAUUGAAAUU